rnacentral:rRNA from 1 species
GUCUUUUUGGUUUAUAUAUAAAGUCUAGCCUGCCCACUGAAUUUUAAAUGGCCGCAGUAAUUUGACUGUGCAAAGGUAGCAUAAUCAUUAGUUUUUUAAUUAAAAGCUUGUAUGAAAGGUUGGACGAGGUAAAUACUGUCUCUAUUUAAUUUAUUUUAAAAUUUAAUUUUUAAGUUAAAAAGCUUAAAUUUUUGUAAAAGACGAGAAGACCCUAUAGAUCUUUAUAAUUUUUAUAUUAAAAUAAAUUUAGAUAUAUUUAUAUUUUAUUAUAAUAAUUAUUUUAUUGGGGUAAUAAAAAGAUUUAAUAAAUUCUUUUUUUUUAUUUAUAUUAAUUUAUAUUUUAUUGAUCCAUUAUUAAUGAUUAUAAGAUUAAGUUACCUUAGGGAUAACAGCGUAAUUUUUUUGGAGAGUUCAUAUCGAUAAAAAAGUUUGCGACCUCGAUGUUGGAUUAAAGAUUAAUUUAGGUGCAGAAGUUUAAAUUUUUGGUCUGUUCGACCAUUAAAUCUUUACA